rnacentral:tRNA from 1 species
GCGCUGCUAGCUCAAUAUGGUAGAGCAAACGACUCUUAAUCGUUAGGUUAUAGGUUCAAUUCCUAUGCAGCGCA